rnacentral:snRNA from 1 species
AUUGCUUCUCGGCCUUUUGGCUAAGAUCAAGUGUAGUAAUAACUGCACUUUAGAUAAACUUCCCAAGUUAUGAUAUUGCCACUCUAU